AACAGGAUUAGAUACCCUGGUAGUCUCAGCCCUAAACGAUGAUCACUAGGUGUCAGGGGGUUUCCCUUGGUGCCGCAGCUAACGCAUUAAGUGAUCCGCCUGGGGACUACGGCCGCAAGGUUGAAACUCAAAGGAAUUGGCGGGGGCCCGCACAAGCGGUGGAGCAUAUGGCUUAAUUCGAUGCAACGCGAAGAACCUUACCCAGACUUGACAUGUAACUGCAAGCUCCCCAAAAGGAGCCGCCUUCGAGGGUGUUACACAGGUGGUGCAUGGCUGUCGUCAGCUCGUGUUGUGAAAUGUUGGGUUAAGUCCCGCAACGAGCGCAACCCUCAUGUUAUGUUGCCAGCGAGUAAUGUCGGGAACUCAUAACAAACUGCCUAUGUAAAUAGGAGGAAGGUGGGGAUGACGUCAAGUCAUCAUGCCCCUUACGCCUGGGGCUGCACAUAUGCUACAAUGGAUGCUACAAACAGUUGCGAACCCGCGAGGGGAAGCUAAUCUGAAAAAAGUAUUCUCAGUUCGGAUUGGAGUCUGCAACUCGACUCCAUGAAGCCGGAAUCGCUAGUAACCGCAGGUCAGCAUUACUGCGGUGAAUACGUUCCCGGGCCUUGCACACACCGCCCGUCACGUGACGAAAGUUGGUUUUGCCCGAAGUCGUUGAGCUAACCGCAAGGAAGCAGACGCCGAAGGUAAAGCCGAUGAUUGGCGCGAAGUCGUAACAAGGUAACC
rnacentral:rRNA from 1 species